UCCGCUUACUUAGAUUGGACCUUGGGGGUAGCCGCCACCCGCAGUCUCCAUGGCCACCUCCGUCAUCUCUGCCCGCAUUUGCCGUCGUCGUCUAUCUUUCACUUUCCCCCUUUUAUCGCAACUCGUCAACACUAAACUCCUUACAUCGUCACCUAACUCAACACCGCCAUUACGGCCUCCACCUCCUCCAUAUGAUACUUACAGACCUCACUAUCGAUUGGCCUUGAACUCUUUGGCAGUUCUUGGUGCCUUUUCCUCGCGUACCUUCUCUACUUCUUUUCCUGACGAUGACUCGGAAAUCUUGGGUAGUGAUCCACUGGUUUUGUCGGAGCUUUUGAAUGGAAAUGAGCCGGUGGCUGCUGGUGUCACCGACGGGAACGACUACAUUUUCCCUGUUCAAGCUGUGAUCUCGAUGCUUGAUGGAUUUCAUGAUCUCACUGGACUGCCAUGGUGGAUGGUCAUAGCUUCCUCUACUUUGGCUCUCAGAAUCAUAAUACUUCCGGUUCUAAUUUUUCAACUUCAUAAGACUCAAAGGCUUGUCCAGUUUCUCCCUGGAUUGCCUCCUCCAUUCCCACCACCUAUGUCAAAAAGGAGUUUUAAAGCCCAGUAUUUGCUAUUCGAGAAGGAGAGAAAAGCAAUUGGAUGUCCCUCAUUACUUUGGCAGCUUUCAUUCUUGACUGUUCAGGUUCCAUGUUUUUUCUUGUGGAUGUUUAGCAUACGGAGGAUGUCACUGGAUGGUCACCCUGGUUUUGAUUGUGGUGGAGCUUUAUGGUUCCAAGAUUUAACAGCACUUUCUCAUGGUUGGUCAGGUUUCAUAAUCCCUUCAUUGAUAGCUGGUUUGCACUGUGCUAAUGUUCAGACAUCCUUUCAGAAAAAAUUAGUUGGAAAGGCUGGUGGCGCUCUUGCCUUGCUAGCAGACCUUUACAAGGGGUAUUUGAAGUUUCUUGCAGUGCCCAUAUUUUUCAUUGCGUUGGCUAUUCCUCAGGGGAGCCUCGUCUAUUGGAUUGCAAAUAGUUCUCUAGCCAUCACUCAGCAAUUAACACUGAGACAUCCGGUCAUCCUUGCCAAAUUGGGGCUGCAAGAGGACAUUAGUCAAAAACAGGAUUCUGAGAAUUCUGGUGCUCCUGAAAUUGUGGUCUUGGAUUCACAGGAGUUACAAGACAAGAACAGUUCUAUAAAAGCUUCUGAGGAAACUAAUGUUCCUAAAACAACUAGUGAUUCACCUGAAAAGUGGUUUAGAAUACCUGCGGAGAAUUUAUCUCCCAAAGAACUAACUGCUUUUUCAGUUCAAAUUCAUGCUGGUGGGGACAGAGAGAAAGCCUUUCUCUUACUGAAACUGGCACUUGAUAAGGAUCCUGAAUAUGUAAGAGCUUUGGUUUUAAUGGGGCAUCUUCUAUUGCAGAAGCAAUCAAAUGCUGAAGCUACUGGUUACUUCCAGCGUGCAAUUUCCAAGUUGUUUCUUGGUCGUUCCCUAGCUUACUCUUGCUGGCCAGCCAACUGAAGUGGAGGAUGUUGAUCUUCUAAUUCUUGCUUCCCAAUGGGCAGGCGUUGCCUAUGAACGUCAGGUGAAGUUCAUACGUUGAAUUGAGAACAGGCUUGGAUAUUCAGAUUAGUUGGCAGAAUUCAACCUUUUAUGGAGAAUGUCUUUGUUGCCUGAAUGAAAAUUGACCAUCUUUUUUUUUUUUUUUGGGGGGGGGGGGGGCGCUGCCAAUGUUAUCUGUUUCAAAACCUGUGGUCAGCUGAUUCUCUUGUGCAUCAUUAAAUUAAUAACCUAGAGCAUGUUAGGGCUACUGUUACCUAACCAGUUGGCAUUGGCAAUUUUAGAAGUUUGCAUCCUCUGAAAGAUUGAAAGGAUUCUGUGCAUUAUGUUUUCUUGUCAAAUUUUCCUCGUGGUCAGGGAAAGAGGGCUGAAGGAUUUGUACACUUUGAAAGAGUUGCAAAUAUGGAAGAACCCGAAGAUCCAGCAUGCAAAGCUCAUUAUUUUAAUGGGUUACUAUUGCUUGCGAGCACUCUAUAUGAUGCCGGGCAAAAGGCUGAAGCUGCCAAG